CUACAAAUUGUCUGGAUUGCAGGUUUGUCAGCAAGUGUCUUACCUCACUGAUGCAAAGCCAGUAGCUCAAAUGUAGUUGCUCUGAAUGUGGAGGUGCAAACAGUGUUCUGAAAGUGCAUCUACGAGAAUCCCAGUAUUGAAGUACGACGGGAGUGCAUCCUGAAAGCAUUGUGCAUCUACUUGAAUGAAAAGUCUGACAGCCUUAUGAAGGAGUACUUGGAUUUUGAUCUUGCUUCAGGGAGAGAAGUGGAGAAAAUGGUUUUGGGCGUAAGUGCUAGUCUACAUCAUCCGACAUGAGGGAGCAGACUCUACAGAUGUACCUGAGGAUGUUGGCAUAGUCAUUGAGGGAUGCACAGUCCUGCAAGAUCUGGGAGAUGUGGCAAAUGGAUGUGCAGUCUUGCUUGGCUUGAUCUACUGUUUAAACUUGAGCUAUCCCAAGGACCUGCGAUACACGUUCGAAUUUUUUCAGAAAGUGUUGAUGGAACUGGAUGGGAGCAAGCUCUCCAAUAAAGUGCAGGUCCUCAAAAACAAACUGCUUGAGUAAAAUCACGUACAGUAGAUACGACUUCUUGGAGUUGGAGGACUUCUUGGACAUGGAGUUAGACUUCUGUUGACUCUUGAUUAGGCAGAGAUAUUGUCUUUGGAUUUUGGACUAAUGAUGGACAAAACAAUGUGAAACAUAUUUUGGUUGAUUUUGUAAUAUCUGCAAUGUUUCAAGUUUUCAGCUGUGAUGCAUGUUUGAAUUUCUUCAGAAAGUGAUGGGAGUUGGAUGGGAACAAGCUCUCUAAGGUGCAGGUCCUCAAAAGUGAAAAUGCAGUAAAAUCACCUGCAGUAGUCAAGACUGGGAAUGAAGUUAGACUAGUCUUUGGAUUUUGCACUAAUGGUGGAAAAAACAAUUGAUCUAUAGACUUUUUUUUCUCAAUAAUAAUUGCUGUUUCAGCUGUAAGCACAUGUAACUUUUGUUUUCUGAGCUGGACUCAAAAACAGUUUAAAAAGGACAGCCAAUUUUGAUAUUGUUGAAGCUAUCUCAAUGCUAAUG